rnacentral:misc_RNA from 1 species
GAUGAAGAACGUAGCAAAAUGCGAUACGUAGUGUGAAUUGCAGAAUUCAGUGAAUCAUCGAAUCUUUGAACGCACAUUGCACCUCUCGGUAUUCCGGGAGGUAUGCCUGUUCGAGCGUCAUUUGUACCCUCAAGCUCUGCUUGGUGUUGGGUGUUUGUUCCGCCUCUGUGUGUGAACUCGCCUCAAAACAAUUGGCAGCCGGCGUACUUGUUUCGGAGCGCAGCACAUUUUGCGAUCCAGAUCAACGUACAGCGGCAUCCAAGAAGCCUUAUUUAACGCUCUUGACCUCGGAUCAGGUAGGGAUACCCGCUGAACUUAAGCAUAUCAAUAAGCGGAGGA